AGAGUUUGAUCCUGGCUCAGGAUGAACGCUAGCGGCAGGCUUAAUACAUGCAAGUCGAGGGGCAGCGCAGUGUAGCAAUACAUGGGCGGCGACCGGCAAACGGGUGCGGAACACGUACACAACCUUCCUUUCAGCGAGGAAUAGCCCAGAGAAAUUUGGAUUAAUACCUCAUAGUAUAUCGGUCAGGCAUCUGAUUGUUAUUAAAGAUUUAUCACUGAAAGAUGGGUGUGCGGCUGAUUAGAUAGUUGGCGGGGUAACGGCCCACCAAGUCUGCGAUCAGUAACUGGUGUGAGAGCACGACCAGUCACACGGGCACUGAGACACGGGCCCGACUCCUACGGGAGGCAGCAGUAAGGAAUAUUGGUCAAUGGACGCAAGUCUGAACCAGCCAUGCCGCGUGGAGGAUGAAGGCCCUCUGGGUUGUAAACUUCUUUUAUCUGGGACGAAAAAGGGCCUUUCUAGGUCAACUGACGGUACCAGAGGAAUAAGCACCGGCUAACUCCGUGCCAGCAGCCGCGGUAAUACGGAGGGUGCAAGCGUUAUCCGGAUUCACUGGGUUUAAAGGGUGCGUAGGUGGGUUGGUAAGUCAGUGGUGAAAUCUCCGAGCUUAACUUGGAAACUGCCAUUGAUACUAUCAGUCUUGAAUAUUGUGGAGGUCAGCGGAAUAUGUCAUGUAGCGGUGAAAUGCUUAGAUAUGACAUAGAACACCAAUUGCGAAGGCAGCUGGCUACGCAUAUAUUGACACUGAGGCACGGAAGCGUGGGGAUCAAACAGGAUUAGAUACCCUGGUAGUCCACGCCCUAAACUAUGGAUACUCGACGUGCGCGAUACACUGUGCGCGUCUGAGCGAAAGCAUUAAGUAUCCCACCUGGGAAGUACGAUCGCAAGAUUGAAACUCAAAGGAAUUGGCGGGGGUCCGCACAAGCGGUGGAA
rnacentral:rRNA from 1 species